CUUGGUUCGUGACUGGUUCUAUCCCCCCACCUAUGGAUUCCAGGGAGGACAAGUUUAUCUCCAUGACAUCAUCCAGAAGCUGGAGGGUCAACCCAACCGCCAUUCACAAGCCCUGCAAAUGUUCAAAAGCACCAACACUUCUUGUUACCUGAUGCCCUUCCCUGGCAAGGCAUUGGUGAUGGGAACAGAAGGCACCAUAGCAGGUAUGGAUGAGGAUUUUAGGGGAUUCCUGAAGGAUUAUGGGAAUCAUAUUGCAAGAUCAGCUGGAAUGCAUGUACAGAGAAAUCAGAAGAACAAACCUCUCACUGGG
rnacentral:lncRNA from 1 species